rnacentral:rRNA from 1 species
UAGGGAAUCUUCGGCAAUGAGGGCAACCCUGACCGAGCAACGCCGCGUGAGUGAAGAAGGUUUUCGGAUCGUAAAGCUCUGUUGUAAGUCAAGAACGAGUGUGAGAGUGGAAAGUUCACACUGUGACGGUAGCUUACCAGAAAGGGACGGCUAACUACGUGCCAGCAGCCGCGGUAAUACGUAGGUCCCGAGCGUUGUCCGGAUUUAUUGGGCGUAAAGCGAGCGCAGGCGGUUUGAUAAGUCUGAAGUUAAAGGCUGUGGCUCAACCAUAGUUCGCUUUGGAAACUGUCAAACUUGAGUGCAGAAGGGGAGAGUGGAAUUCCAUGUGUAGCGGUGAAAUGCGUAGAUAUAUGGAGGAACACCGGUGGCGAAAGCGGCUCUCUGGUCUGUAACUGACGCUGAGGCUCGAAAGCGUGGGGAGCGAACAGGAUUAGAUACCCUGGUAGUCCACGCCGUAACGAUGAGUGCUAGGUGUUGGAUCCUUUCCGGGAUUCAGUGCCGCAGCUAACGCAUUAAGCACUCCGCCUGGGGAGUACGACCGCAAGGUU